rnacentral:tRNA from 1 species
UAGACGGAUGCUCUCUGGUUUGAGUAUUUAGCUGUUAACUAAAAGUUUGUAGGAUCGAGACCUACUCGUCUAG